UUUCCUUCACUCAGGCAAAGAGGGUUGUGGAAGGAAACCAAGCAUCACUAACACCCCUUAGCUCUCAGGGAGACUAGCUUUCUUGGAGGCUGGGAGAGGUCUCUGCACCUGUGAGGUCUUAGACAUGGGAAAGUCAUAGUGAAGACAGCGGAAGCCCACCUGACCGCUCAGUGGCCAGCCACAUGGGAGUCUCAUGCAGGUGUCCCCAGACCCUUGAAAAGGAGGUGUGAGACCACACUAUCACUCCUGCUUCAAAAGAUAAAUGGCUUGCUGUAGGAUGUUGCCUAAGUCACAUUGACACUUUUCAGAAAUGGUUCCUGCCAGUCUUCUGGGCACUAGGAUUUGACCUGCAUCAUGGAACUUCCCUCCAGAGGAUGAUUACAUAACAUGAUGCAUGCACGUUGCCCGGGAGCUGAACUAGAUGUUGACAUGCAUCAAGGGGCUCCUCCCCACAUCUCAAGAACCUCAUUAGGUGGGGAGGAGGCUCAAAGCUGGAUCCUUGCACAUGGUCAUAUGUGCACUUAACCAAGUGCACCACCACCCAGCCCCACAUACAAAACAGGAGUAACACAGUCAAGGGUAUGGCUUCUCCCACAACCUAGGAAUGGAAAAGAUCCAUGGGGGAAAAAAACACCUUGGCAAGAUGAAGGGUUUGAAUGCUCAUUUACAAGACUCGCAGAAGGAGGAAAGAAAAUGAACUCCAAGAAGACGGUUUAUUUCUCAGUGCAGCCCCUGACAACAGAUUCCCCAGUUACCCCUCUUCACAGCCCAUAAACUGCUCUGUAAAAAUUAAAAAGCGUGAAUUUACAGGGCCCAAGAGGAGCCAGGAGGUGAAGACCUAUCUCCAGCCAAUGGCUCAGGCAUACUGAUGAAGCAGAAAUAUGAGGUUUUGCCAAUUUCUAGCCAAUAAAAUAUUUUCCCUGCCUUCGCAGAUCCUUGACCUUCUCUUUCCCACACAAAACUAAGUAUGGAC